CAGCUCAAUUUAAUGGGCCCAUGACCAAACUAAUGUUUGGUUGGCUGUAAUCUCUAUUACCACCUAUAUUGACUCUGUUCCUAUUCAAGGAACACGCUGCAUAACCAUUCCCUUCCUUCACUACUGAAUAGAGGUAUUGAAUAGGAUUUGUUUUUUUCCUUUUUAAUUUUUUCCCUCACCUUUACCCUCCUCCUUCAACGAUAGCCCUUCUCACCCAACCAUCAUCCUUCCUUCUUCUUUUUCUUUUCCUUUUCCUUCUUCCUUCUUUUUCUUCUUUCAAGGAUUCACUGCUUUCAGUUGGGAUCCAAGUUUGCUGUUGUUGAUAUCUGAUCAAUACCAUCCUGCUCGGCAACAGUGGAGUUCGCUGCUUCUACUUAUCUACGCUUCUUCUCUUGGGUCUAGCUCGUAGAUCCACCACCACAAUCAAAAUCGAUUUCCUAGCUUUCGUUUCUCUUCUCGAUGGAUCCCACUUCUCUCCCUGCUGUCGUCAUCGACAAUGGCUCUUGAUAUUUGUAAGAUUGGAUUUACGGGUAAUGUAGAGCUGAGUUUUAUUCAACCAACAGUAGUAGCAGUUAAUGAAUCUCUUUUAAAUCAAUCUAAAGCUUCUUCCAAAUCUAAUUGGUUAGUUUAGUAUUCAGCUGGGGUAAUGGCCGAUCUUGAUUUCUUCAUUGGAGAUGAAGCACUCACGCGAUCACGAUCAAGCAAUAACUAUAACAUUAUCCAUCCCAUUAAGCAUGGCAAAGUGGAUAAUUGGGAUGCUAUGGAAUGAUAUCGGCAACAAUUUAUUUUUAAUUAUUUACGGUGUGCUCUUGAGGAUCAUUACUUUUCACUGACUGAAAGUCUACUUACUCUACUCCUAAGAAUUGAGAAUAUAUGGGUAAAAUCAUGUUUGAAACGUUUAA